rnacentral:ncRNA from 1 species
ACCCCCGUGAGAAUGCCCUAAGUACCCCCCGGAACUAAGGAGCGGGCAUCAGGCACGCACAUGCAGCCCAUAACGCCUUGCUUAGCCACACCCCCAAGGGACCUCAGCAGUGGUAAACAUUAAGCCAUAAGUGAAAACUUGACUUAGUUAAAGCUUAGAGGGCCGGUAAAACUCGUGCCAGCCACCGCGGUUAUACGAGAGGCCCAAGUUGAUAGCCUAACGGCGUAAAGCGUGGUUAGAGAAAUUAAAAUACUGGAAUCAAACACUCCCAAAGCUGUUAUAAGCAUAUGAGAAUACGAAGCCCACCCACUAAAGUGAUUCCACCAAUCCCCGACCCCACGAAAGCUACAAAACAAACUGGGAUUAGAUACCCCACUAUGUGUAGCUGUAAACUUUGAUGGUUACUAAUACCUACCCCAUCCGCCUGGGAACUACAAGCGACAGCUUUAAACCCAAAGGACUUGGCGGUGCUUUAGACCCCCCUAGAGGAGCCUGUUCUAGAACUGAUAAUCCCCGUUAAACCUCACCCCCCCUUGUUAAUACCGCCUAUAUACCACCGUCGUCAGCUUACCCUGUGAAGGAAAAAUAGUAAGCAAAAUCAGUAAAACUCAAAACGUCAGGUCGAGGUGUAGCGAAUGGGGGGGGAAGAAAUGGGCUACAUUCUCUCUUGAGAGCAUACGAAUGAUAGAUUGAAAUAUCUACCUGAAGGAGGAUUUAGCAGUAAGUGGUAAAUAGAGAGUUCCACUGAAACUGGCCCUGAAGCGCGUACACACCGCCCGUCACUCUCCCCAAAUUACCCUUUAAUGCUUUUAUAAAAACUUAUGUAAAACAAGGGGAGGCAAGUCGUAACAUGGUAAGCGUACCGGAAGGUGCGCUUGGAUCAAC